rnacentral:lncRNA from 1 species
GACGGCGACACGGGAACCCAAGGGCAGCUGCUGACCUCUAAAUCAACAACAUUGUGCUUUCAGACACAAGAAACACCACAGCUGAAAAUGAUUUAAUUAAUUCAACACCCUCUCUCUCAACUUUAAAAAACAUAUGCAUCCGACACAGUCACUCCAUAGCGGUACCAAUAUCAUUCCUGCUUUCUCUGUGGAGCGCGACAGGGUUUAACCACGCCCACAAUCUGUGAGAAUUGUUGAUGAACUCGUUGACUGCAGUUCUCUAUGACCUGAAGGACUUACUUGCAGAGGAGUUCUUUCUGAUGAAGAAGGGAACUUCUGGCGGAUCCAGCUGUGGCCAGGAAAUCACGCACAGAACGAGCAGUAUGGCUGGUGGCAUUGUCAUGCUGGAGGGUCAUGUCAGGAUGAGCCUGUAGGAAGGCUACCACAUGAGGGAGGAGGAUGUCUUACCUGAAACGCACAGCGUUGAGAUUGCCUGCAAUGACAACAAGCUCAGUCCGAUGAUGCUGUGACACACCCCCCCAGACCAUGACGGACCCUCCACCUCCAAAUCGAUCACGCUCCAGAGUACAGGCCUAUAGACUGAUCCUUUCUUUGUCAGUCGGCAAACUUCAAAUACUUUUUUCCCCCACUCAGAUGCUGUAUCCUGCCGGAGGGCAAAGCGGCGGGUGAGCGACUGUUCCAUCUGAGACAGGAGAUGAGGAGUGCCCAGGACCUCGCCCUGGAGUUCCGGACCCUAGCCGCUGGAGCUGGGUGGAAUGAAAGGGCCCUGAUUGAUCACUACCGUUGUAGCCUGAGAGAGGACGUCCACCGGGAGCUGGCAUGUCGGGACACUACCAUCACCCUGGACCAGCUCAUCGAUAUGUCCAUCAGACUGGACAACCUGCUGGCUGCCCGUGGGCGUUCCAAUCGGGCCCUUUUCAUUCCACCUCCCAGCCCUCCUGCUCCAACGCCCAUGGAGAUAGGGGGGGCUGCAGCUAGGAAGACCGGAGGGGCAGUCUUCUCCUGCGCCCACUGUAGUCGCAAAGGGCACACUGCCGAC